rnacentral:rRNA from 1 species
AUCAUGCCCCUUAUGUCCAGGGCUACACACGUGCUACAAUGGUAGGUACAAUAAGACGCAAGACCGUGAGGUGGAGCAAAACUUAUAAAACCUAUCUCAGUUCGGAUUGUAGGCUGCAACUCGCCUACAUGAAGCUGGAGUUGCUAGUAAUCGCGAAUCAGAAUGUCGCGGUGAAUACGUUCCCGGGCCUUGUACACACCGCCCGUCACACCAUGAGAGCUGGUAACACCCGAAGUCCGUGAGGUAACCGUAAGGAGCCAGCGGCCGAAGGUGGGAUUAGUGAUUGGGGUGAAGUCGUAACAAGGUAGCCGUAGGAGAACCUGCGGCUGGAUCACCUCCUUUCUAAGGAGA